rnacentral:sRNA from 1 species
AUUUUUUAAUAUAGUCUGACUACUAAUAAAAGUACACGUAUUUAUUCUUUCGUGAGAUUGUCCCUUAUAUAAAGGAUUUUAAAGUCUUUCUCUCCUAAAACUUUUACUUUUUAGUUAUUUUUCUUUUUCUUUUUUAUUGUGAGGGACUCUGUUAAGGGAUCACCGUUGGUGGUGCUCUUAUGGCUAAUAGUUUAGGUUGAGACCGAUAUUUAAUUUUAU